ACUUAAAAGGCGCCGGUCCUGAUUUCAGGAGGACAUUUACUUGAAGAGCGUUCAGCUGCGACCACCGGGCUUACUAUACUAACAUGCAGAAGAGGGCGUUGUGUUUGGCAGGUGUACUCCUUUUGAAUGUGAUGCUGUCUACAGUGGUGGCUUUUCCUAAUAUUGACAGAGGGGGGCAUGACAGCUAUUACCGAAACUCCCGUUGUAGCCUGGACUGCAGUGAUCGACCGGAUGGUAUCUACACUCACUUGUUCAGAAAGUGCCGCAAAUUCUACCGGUGUGAAAAGGGGGUUGCAAUUGAAUUUUAGAAACUGUGUGAAUACUGACUUUGCUUGAUUGAAAUCCUUCGGAAUUUCGACUUAUUUCCAUGGUCAAUGAGGAAAAAAGGGAACUGAUGACGCCUGCUAUAAUUGCAGUUUGAGACAUUAUCAAGACGAAGCAUCGAUGGCUUUGACGACUGCGCAUUGCGCGGGAAAAUUGUUGCAUAGCCUUUCAGUAGCUAAUGCAUGUCGAUGUUGAUAUUUCCAAAUAACAGACUUUUUUGUCUUAAAUUGUAAUCUUACUUUCUCUGUGAUACACUUGUGGUAAUUUGAUAAAAAUGUGAUAUUGAAAAAACUCCUAGACGUUAUCAUAAGCAAAAUAUUAAAGGGAUUCUUCUUUGAUCUUUAAUCCCAUUAUUGGAAUAAACGGUAAUAACAAAGCUGAAAAGAUUUAACUGAAAAGCUAUCAAUCUUUCGUAGUCAUUGACUUACACAGUCCGUGAAUAAAUGUAUUUAAUGACAUGCAA